UUAAAACUCGACACCAAUACAAUUAUGUGUAUGCGCACACAAGCUCUGAAUUUUGCUUAUAUAAACAAUAGCUUGAAGAUAAUCAAUACAGUAAAGUUUGAGUUCAAGAGCACAACUAAUUAUCAAUGACAAAAAAGAAGAGAAAAGUGUAUUUUCUUGUCUUGAGAACUCAGAGUUUCAACUUUGAAAAAAGCUUUCGAAUUUUGUUGUCCACGACGAAGCCAUCUCAACCGGAGUUCCGAGUUCAGAGAGAAGCGAGAGUUUGAGAAGAAAAGCAAUGGAAGAAAGGGUAAAAAUAUCUUUUCAUAUUAAUUUUAAUAGAGUAGUGGCUAUUUUUGCUCACCAUUAAAAUUGCUGGAUAAAAAAUAAAUAUCACCUUCAAUAAUAGCUACCACACGCAAUUUUUACUCACAUAUACGUGCUCAUUAUUUGGUUCUUGGUGGAAACACACUUACAACUAUAUAUAUGUAUGACAUAUUUUAGAAACUACUUAGACACUAAAGGGGGUGAAAAUUAUUUUGAUAAAUUUUCGAUUUCUUAAAAUUUUGACCAGUUAAGUAACACUAGGUGAAUUUAAGUAUAAAGGACAGGUUCUUUGUACGGGUUCAAACAACUCCUGUAAUAAAAUAAGAUAUGAUAUCUUUUCGUGAAAAAUCGACUUGCUUGAGAUAGCAAAAAUUACGAACUAUCCUUCUAGGAUUUCUCCAAAAAAAACUUCACUAAAACAAAUAUGCAAUUUCAGGUUACAAACUUUAUAACCUAAGAAACUAAUAGUGUUAUUUGGAUGGCCGCUAGACAUGUUGAAAGAACCUAUACAAGCAGAACUAGGUCCUUCAACAUAAUGCAAUCAAUCCAAUAUAGUUAUAUUAUUUAUUAAUCAUUAAAACCAAAAGUCAACAUAUAUAUUAGUCUAAAUCCGAACCCAUUGUUGCAAAGAGUAUUGACCAUAGUUAUGCUCUAGAAUUUUAACUUAAAAUCCUUGAUUAUCUUCCAGAUGAAAAGAAGAACAUGUAACGGGGCGAUCCGGGUGCGGGGUGGGGCGGCUUUGACCUUCUGUAAGGCAGGGCAAGUUUGACCUUACACGAGUGCAGGGGCGAAGCGUGGCAUGUUGAAAUAGUUUCUUAAAAGAACUAAUGCAACAGGGCCGGGCGGGGCGUAUUGCGGGUUUUCUUCGGCUAUGAGUUAGAUUUUCAGUCACUACGAGUUUGCCUUGAUUUAGGGUGUGUUUGGUAUAACAGAAAAUGUUUUUCGUGGAAAAUAUUUUUUUGAAAAACAAGUAGUAAUUUUAUUCAUUUUCCGAUGUUUGGUACACAAAUUAAGGAAAAGGACUUCUUAAGAGUAUUCAUAAAUAAUUUAGAUAUAAUAAACAUGAAGCCAUAAACUUUUAAACCAACAACCUUCCGAACCCACAAAUUUCAUAAACUUUCGAACCGCUAAACUUUCAAAACCGCGGAAUUUCGAACCCAUAAACUUUAUAAUUUCUAAACCCGUAUACUUCCAAACACAUUAACCUCCGAACUCAUAAUUUUGGAACUUGUAAAAUUUUGAGCUUUUAAACCUAUAAAUAAUAAAAUUAAAACUGAAAAAUAUAUUUAAAAAAUAUUUUUUCCGGGGGGAGGGGGGAGGGGCAGGGGCUGGGGGCAGUAAAACGAAAAAAAUAAAAAUUUAAAUUACAAAAAAAAAAGUAAAAAAAAAAAAUUGUGUGCGGAUGGGGGGUUGGAGGGGUAGUAGGGUGGGUGAUAACGGAAAAACUGAAAUUUGGAAAAAACCUUUUUUUGGAGAGGGAAUGGGGUGGGGAAGGUUGAGAAGGAUUUUGGAAAAUGUUUUCCCUUCUCUUGAUAAGGAAAACAUUUUCUUCCAAUUGGAGGAAAAUGAGUUCAUAAGAAAAAUGUUUUCCAAAAUGUUUAAACCAACCAAAUAUGAAAAAAUUGAAAAAUAUUUUUCUUCGCAGCAAACACACCCAUAAUGUUUACUUAAAUCAACCUCUCCAAAAUGGAUUAGUAGUUGAUAUUCUGAUAACUUUGUAUUAAAAUUAACAAUAAACAAGAUUGAUUGCGUAGAAAGGUCUAUGAUACACAUACACACAUAUAUAGCUUCCUUUUUUUUUUUUUUUGUGAAAGAAAAAUCUUACUGUAUAAUAUCUCUAAAACCUUAAAUUUGAAUUCUUGUUAAUUGACUUGUGCUACCACUCUGCAGGUUCUAGGAACUUUCAGAUUCUAAUCAUUUCUUGCUCUCCAUAUAGCAUAGGUCACUGCUGCAAAUACUGCCAAUACAAAAUACAGAUACACAUACACAUAGUUGUAUAUUACGUGUUUUGUUUUCUACUGAAUAAUAUGUGCGUG
rnacentral:lncRNA from 1 species